CACGGAGUUAGCCGAUCCUUAUUCCUUCGGUACAUUCAGCUCACUACACGUAAUGAGGUUUAUUCCCGAAUAAAAGCAGUUUACGACCCAGAGGGCUGUCUUCCUGCACGCGGCAUGGCUGGUUCAGAGUUGCCUCCAUUGACCAAUAUUCCUUACUGCUGCCUCCCGUAGGAGUCUGGUCCGUGUCUCAGUACCAGUGUGGGGGGUCAUCCUCUCAGAUCCCCCAGUCAUCGUCGCCUUGGUGGGCCGUUACCCCGCCAACUAGCUAAUGACACGCAUGCCCAUCUUAAUCCUAUAAAUAUUUGAACAUUGGACAAUGCUGUCCUGUGUUUUUAUGCGGUGUUAAUCCGAAUUUCUUCGGGCUAUCCCCCUGAUUAAGGUAGGUUGCAUACGCGUUACGCACCCGUGCGCCACUUUCCUCUUCAGCAAGCUGAAGAGUAUCGUUCGACUUGCAUGUAUUAGGCCUGCCGCUAGCGUUCAUCCUGAGCCAGGAU
rnacentral:rRNA from 1 species